ACAACAGUAGAAAUUAAGUUUUUCCUAUAAAACUAUAAAAUUAUAGUUAAUUAACACCAUCAAAUAUAAUCCAACAUUUAAAAUACAAAAUAUUUAUCAUUAUUUUUACCAAAAAAAUUUCACUAUUUUUCAAUUAUUUUAAAUUUUUUUUAAAAUUCAUUUGUCUCGCUCGCUAUUCCAUAUCGUGCAUGUUUUCAAAAAUAAAUAAUCCCAUUUACGUUCUCUCUCAC
rnacentral:lncRNA from 1 species